CGAACGGGUGAGUAAUAGGUAUCGGAACGUGCCCAGUCGUGGGGGAUAACGUAGCGAAAGUUACGCUAAUACCGCAUACGAUCUACGGAUGAAAGCGGGGGGGACUCGCAAGAGCCUCGCGCGAUUGGGAGCGGGCCGAUAUCAGAUUAGGUAGUUGGUGGGGGUAAAGGCUCACCAAGCCAACGAUCUGUAGCUGGUCUGAGAGGACGACCAGCCACACUGGAACUGAGACACGGUCCAGACUCCUACGGGGGGCAGCAGUGGGGAAUUUUGGACAAUGGACGCAAGUCUGAUCCAGCCAUUCCGCGUGCAGGAUGACGGUCCUAUGGAUUGUAAACUGCUUUUGUACAGGAAGAAACACUACUUCGUGAAGUAGCUUGACGGUACUGUAAGAAUAAGGAUCGGCUAACUCCGUG
rnacentral:rRNA from 1 species